AGGAUAAACGCUGGCGGCGUGCCUAACACAUGCAAGUCGAACGUCUCUUUCUUCGGGAAGAGGAGUGGCGGACGGGUGAGGAACACGUGGGAACCUGCCCUCCAGUGAGGAAUACCGGCGAGAAAUCGCCGACAAGACCGCAUAGCCCUCUCUGGUGAGAGCCAGAGAAGGAAAGCUUCGCAAGAGGCGCUGGAGGAGGGGCCUGCGUCCGAUUAGCUAGUUGGUGGGGUAAGAGCCUACCAAGGCGUCGAUCGGUAGCUGGUCUGAGAGGACGAUCAGCCACACUGGGAUUGAGAACGGCCCAGACUCCUACGGGGGGCAGCAGUGAGGAAUUUUCGGCAAUGGGGGAAACCCUGACCGAGCAACGCCGCGUGCAGGAAGACGGCCUUCGGGUUGUAAACUGCUUUUCUUUGGGUACGAGCAAGGACGGUACCAGAGGAAUCAGCCCCGGCUCACUACGUGCCAGCAGCCGC
rnacentral:rRNA from 1 species